GUCUGUUUGAAGGUAUAGAAAGUCUGGUCUGCCCACUGAAAAAUAUUAAAGGGCCGCGGUAAUUUGACCGUGCAAAGGUAGCAUAAUCGUUAGUUUUUUAAUUGGAAUCUUGUAUGAAUGAUUGGACAAGGGGAAGACUGUCUCUAUGUUUAUUUUUGAAUUUAACUUUUAAGUGAAAAGGCUUAAAUAGUUUAAAAAGACGAUAAGACCCUAUAAAGCUUAAUAGGUUAGAUUAUUUAAUUGAAUUAAAAAAUAAGAGUUAACUAAUUGCACGUAUUUUGUUGGGGCGACAAAGGUAAAAUUUUUAUUAACUACUAGAAUUUAAGACAAUUAUAAGUGAAUAAGAAAAAUAAGUGAGCCUGAAAUAAGAUUAGAAGAUUAAGUUACUUUAGGGAUAACAGCGUUAUUUUUUUUGAGAGUUCUUAUCGAAAAAAGAGUUUGCGACCUCGAUGUUGAAUUAAAAUAUCUAUGUAAUUGCAGAAGUUGCAUUAGUAGGUCUGUUCGACCUUUAAAAUUUU
rnacentral:rRNA from 1 species